UAGGGAAUCUUCCGCAAUGGGCGAAAGCCUGACGGAGCAACGCCGCGUGAGUGAUGAAGGUCUUCGGAUCGUAAAACUCUGUUAUUAGGGAAGAACAAAUGUGUAAGUAACUAUGCACGUCCUGACGGUACCUAAUCAGAAAGCCACGGCUAACUACGUGCCAGCAGCCGCGGUAAUACGUAGGUGGCAAGCGUUAUCCGGAAUUAUUGGGCGUAAAGCGCGCGUAGGCGGUUUUUUAAGUCUGAUGUGAAAGCCCACGGCUCAACCGUGGAGGGUCAUUGGAAACUGGAAAACUAGGGUGCGGAAGAGGAAAGUGGAAUUCCGUGUGUAGCGGUGAAAUGCGCAGAGAUAUGGAGGAACACCAGUGGCGAGGGCGACUUUCUGGUCUGUAACUGACGCUGAUGUGCGAAAGCGUGGGGAUCAAACAGG
rnacentral:rRNA from 1 species